AGAUACUUGUACAGCUCCGCUACAGCGUCGCGUGCGAAUGACGUCAUCAACCGCGCUGGGCCGCUUGUGGAUGACGUCAUUCACAUGCAGCUGCGAUCGUAUCUUUCGCGCCGAAAGAUAACGGCUGGGACUAAGUAAAAAGUAGUAAAAAUGGAGACAUAGCGAAACGCUGAUGUCUCCAUUUUUACUGCUUUUUACUACUUGAAUAGACUGAGGGUGAUGAUAGUGGGGCGCAUAGUAUUUUGGCGAUUGACUGUGUCCGGAACUUUUCAGUUCAAGAUUUUUUUGCCUCGACUGAACAAAACGAGAAGCUGGGCGAAACGGCCGCCAACCCUGGCCGGUUCACCCAGCCAAAUUGACGUGGCAAUAAAAAGGGAGGGUCUUCCAAAAACAAGCACCAGGAGGGUGAGAAGCAGGAGGAGGGUCAUGACAGACUUUCAAAGAACAAGGUUGUCGUGAAAAAGAAAAAUGUUUCUAAAUACGAGACAGGAGGAGGAGGAGGAGAAAGUGGAUGAUGAGGCGCGUCAUGACACAAAGAACAAGGUGGGAAGCCAACCAGAGGGGACGGGGAGCAGCUGGUUGCCCUGGAUAAAAUUAAAAAGGCAGCCAUUAUUGGUGAGUAAAUGCAUAAAGUGUUGAGAAGGGAAAACAAAACUUUUAAGACUUUAUAAGUUCACCACUUUAACCAUAGCCUACUUGUAUCAAUGUAUAUUAGGCAUCAAUGGAGACUGGAUAAGGGUAGGGCACCCAUUAUUGUUACUGUAUCUGCUUAGCACCUAUAAUACUAAUUCAUUGCUUGCUCACUUUUUGAUCCCACCUUUCCUUUUCUAAAGCCACAUUUCUGGGGUAUUGCCCUCAAUGUGCUGUAAGGUGUGUAGUCCUCUAUUUUGUAGAACAUAUAUUGUUGCAAAUAACCUCAUGGCAUAUUGUUGUUGUCUGAAGUGUUCAUAAAUAAUAUUCACCCCUCCUUCACCCUUAAUCCCCUCUGUCCUGCCUUAUUUUGUCUAUGCCGGUAAUUGAUUUGCUUGAUUUUAAUGCAUACCUUCUUCGAGUGUGUGUGUGUGUGUGUGUGUGUGUGUGUGUGUGUGUGUGUGUGUGUGUGUGUGUGUGUGUGUGUGUGUGUGUGUGUGUGUGUGUGUGUGUGUGUGUGUGUGUGUGUGUGUGUGUGUGUGUGUGUGUGUGUGAGAAACAAAAGGUCUUGUUUGCUCAAAGCCCAGCCCAGAGAACACGGAAUGUGUUUAAAAAGUCAGGAUUUGUUAAUUCAGAACAGAUGGCUGAAUGCCAUUCGCUCAUUAUUGUUACAAUAUUAUUAUAUUGUCUAAUUAUUUUUGUCUUCUCUAGAUGCUACAUUGAAGAAAUGGCCGGCAGCCAGCCGAGGGCAGAUAGGAACAGCUAUAAAUUCCAAGCUCGCAGAGAUGCGAAGAUCCAUGAAAUGUUUUUUUUUUUUUUUUGUUGUCAUUUUUGUACAUUUUGAUAGUCCUUAAAUAAAUAAUGUAAAUUUCCACAUUUUGGGCUUUUAUUUUUGUUUCCUAGUUUGGAUUUUAAUAAUUUUACUUAUAGGUGGACAUAUGUGCAUAUAUGUACCUAUAUAGGUACAUUUAUGCAUGUAUAUAUAUGUGUACAUGUAUGCG